rnacentral:tRNA from 1 species
UGGAUCACCUCCUAACAGGGAGACAAACAACGAUUUUGAUGUCUGAGUUUUUUUAUUCUUAGGCCAAAAUCCUGUCACCUUAGGUCGAUCGGUACCUCAACUUUGAAGCUAAGAGUAUUCAGAAAUGGAUAUCUGCUUAGUGGAAAUUUUUAGUUCCUAAACUUUGUCUAGUUCACAACCCAUUAGGGAUGAGACUCCUGGGCCAUUAGCUCAGGUGGUUAGAGCGCACCCCUGAUAAGGGUGAGGUCCCUGGUUCAAGUCCAGGAUGGCCCAUUCGGUGUAGGGGGUUUAGCUCAGUUGGUAGAGCGCCUGCUUUGCAAGCAGGAUGUCAGGAGUUCGAGUCUCCUAACCUCCACUGACUACCAAAAUCCCCAUCUCCAAAACCUGGAGUAUGAACUCGUAUGGAUUGUGAUUUAGAUGUGUCCGCUAGAUGACCCUAGCUUCUUGUCAUUUUAAGGCAUGGAAAAGAUUCCAUGAUAUUUAAUUGAUAGGAUGCUGGGCUCGAUUCAAUGUAUUGAGAGAUUAAUGCAUUGUUUUGAUGUCUGGUCGAACCUUGACAACUGCAUAGUAAGUCUGGAAAGAAUAAAGCAUCUUUAUGGAUGCAUCAUUCUUGAGUGUUAAUUCACGAUGGGAUGAUGUUGAUUCUAAAGCAAGAGCCGAGACUCCAGCAUGUUCUUUCAAAUGUGUCGAGCAUUUGAGAGUUUGAUUUUAAUUUCUAUUUUUAGAAGUUAGAAGAAUCUGUUUCAACGACAGCAAGCGUGUUGGAGAUACAUUGGUCAAGCUACAAAGGGCUCACGGCGGAUACCUUGGCACACAGAGGCGAUGAAGG